rnacentral:rRNA from 1 species
AUUGAACGCUGGCGGCAGGCCUAACACAUGCAAGUCGAGCGGAUGAAGCGAGCUUGCUCCUGGAUUCAGCGGCGGACGGGUGUGUAAUGCCUAGGAAUCUGCCUGGUAGUGGGGGAUAACGUCCGGAAACGGGCGCUACUACUGCAUAAGUGCUGAGGGAGAAAGGGGGGGAUGUUCGGACCUCACGCUAUCAGAUGAGUCUAGGUCGGAUUAGCUAGUUGGUGGGGUAAAGGCCUACCAAGGAGACGAUCCGUAACUGGUCUGAGAGGCUGAUCAGCCACACUAGAACUUAGACACGGUCCAUACUCCUACGGGAGGCAGCAGUGGGGAAUAUUGGACAAUGGUCGGAAGCCUUAUCCAGCCAUGCCGCGUGUGUUGAGAAAGUCUUCGGAUUGUAAAGCACGUUAAGUUGGUGUGAAGGGCAGUAAGUUAAUACCUUGCUGUUUUGACGUUACCAACAGAAUAAGCACCGGCUAACUUCGUG